UAAUACAGAGGUGGCAAGCGUUGUUCGGAUUUACUGGGCGUAAAGGGUGCGUAGGCGGCCUUGUGUGUCAGGUGUGAAAUCCCACGGCUCACCCGUGGAAAUGCACUUGAAACUGCAGGGAUCGAGUUCAGGAGAGGUAAGCGGAAUUCUUGGUGUAGCAGUGAAAUGCGUAGAUAUCAAGAGGAACACCGGUGGCGAAGGCGGCUUACUGGACUGAUACUGACGCUGAGGCACGAAAGCCAGGGUAGCAAAAAGG
rnacentral:rRNA from 1 species